rnacentral:rRNA from 1 species
CGUGUGCUUACAAGUAGUCAGAGCCCGUUAAUGGGUGAUGGCGUGCCUUUUGUAGAAUGAACCGGCGAGUUACGAUUUGAUGCAAGGUUAAGCAGUAAAUGUGGAGCCGUAGCGAAAGCGAGUCUGAAUAGGGCGUUUAGUAUUUGGUCGUAGACCCGAAACCAGGUGAUCUACCCUUGGUCAGGUUGAAGUUCAGGUAACACUGAAUGGAGGACCGAACCGACUUACGUUGAAAAGUGAGCGGAUGAACUGAGGGUAGCGGAGAAAUUCCAAUCGAACCUGGAGAUAGCUGGUUCUCUCCGAAAUAGCUUUAGGGCUAGCCUCAAGUGAUGAUUAUUGGAGGUAGAGCACUGUUUGGACGAGGGGCCCCUCUCGGGUUACCGAAUUCAGACAAACUCCGAAUGCCAAUUAAUUUAACUUGGGAGUCAGAACAUGGGUGAUAAGGUCCGUGUUCGAAAGGGAAACAGCCCAGACCACCAGCUAAGGUCCCAAAAUAUAUGUUAAGUGGAAAAGGAUGUGGCGUUGCCCAGACAACUAGGAUGUUGGCUUAGAAGCAGCCAUCAUUUAAAGAGUGCGUAAUAGCUCACUAGUCGAGUGACACUGCGCCGAAAAUGUACCGGGGCUAAACAUAUUACCGAAGCUGUGGAUUGUCCUUUGGACAAU